GUUUCCCCUCGGGAAUUAUUUUUAUGGGUUUCGAUAAAAGAGUGAGAUAAAUAUUUGGUUUAUAAAAUUCAUUUGAGUUUUGGUCACUAAAGAGUGAAGUUAUUUAAUAAAAACAAUAAAGGGUGUUGCGACGUGAAAUAAGCUGUGUUGGUUUGGUGUAGUGUUUUACUACAAGAAAGGGUCUACACGUCACCAUCUCUACUUUGGAGUCGCCCAAGCGCCCAGUUGUUUUACAAGGUGUUUAUUCUAUUUUUAUGAUUUAUUUUAAUUAUUUUGGACUAUUUUGAAUUUAUUUAACGUAUUAAAAAUUAUAAAAUUAUUUAAAUGA
rnacentral:lncRNA from 1 species